GAGCGAGCCUCCGGAACAGACCCGCGGGGAGCGAGACUCCGGAACAGACCCGCGGGGAGCGAGCCUCCGGGACCGAGCCGCGGGGAGCGAGCCUCCGGAACAGACCCGCGGGGAGCGAGCCUCCGGAGCGCGGGUCGCGGAGCGGGCUGGCCAGCACUCUGGGGGCGGGCGCAGCCAGACCCGUAGCUCUUGCUUUCGCCUCCCCCGAGCUCCAGAGUUAAAGUCUGUGUUAUAACUCCGGAACUGGGGGCAGAGGAGCAGGCGGACGCGCGCUAGAGGGGAGCGAGCAGCCCUCGGUCCCGCUCUGCGUCUGACACCCCCUCGUGCGCUCCACGGAGAGAGAUGCUCCCCUGCUCCCCUGCUCCCCCGACUCCCGAAGGUGUCACGGUUAGCGAACAUGUGCUGACAGACGAGUCGUGGCCCAUAGUGUAGUUCCUAAAGGAAAGUGUCUGUGUGCAUCCCGGUCCGUAAGAGCCGCCUCUCCCUGCUGUAACUUUUAAGCUUCUUGGGGUAAGAAUUGUAACAGGUUCUGAUCUGCAGAAAAAACUAACCAAGGCAGCUGCUCCAAAUUCAAUAUAGGAAAACCACCAUCAGAAGCAAACUGAACUAGAAGCAAAAAGUUCAAGUACUUGCUGCCCUUUUGCAGGAUCUUUUACAAGGGGCUACACUACAAGCUAAAGCAGACGGUGACACAAAUGAAAUGGGAAACUCGGGAGCCAAGAGCACAACAGUAAUGUGUGUUAAAUAAAGUAUUUAAUGAAAUGACAACAAAAAAAUGCUCUGCCGUGAUUUGGGCCAGCAUUUGACACAGAGAGUUUUUUGGCUCUUCGGCCGCAGUUACAC